rnacentral:rRNA from 1 species
UUAAAGGAAUUGACGGGACCCCGCACAAGCGGUGGAUCAUGUUGUUUAAUUCGAUGAUACGCGAAGAACCUUACCAGGUCUUGACAUCCCCCCGCGAUGCUUUAGAGAUAAAGCGGAGGUAUUCGGGGAGACAGGUGGUGCAUGGUUGUCGUCAGCUCGUGUCGUGAGAUGUUGGGUUAAGUCCCGCAACGAGCGCAACCCCUAUUGCUAGUUACCAUCAUUAAGUUGGGGACUCUAGCGAGACUGCCAGUGAUAAACUGGAGGAAGGUGGGGAUGACGUCAAAUCAUCAUGCCCCUUAUGACCUGGGCUACAAACGUGAUACAAUGGCUGGAACAAAGGGAUGCGAAGCAGUGAUGUGGAGCGAAACCCAUAAAAACAGUCUCAGUUCGGAUUGAAGUCUGCAACUCGACUUCAUGAAGUCGGAAUCGCUAGUAAUCGCGGAUCAGAACGCCGCGGUGAAUACGUUCUCGGGGUUU